rnacentral:rRNA from 1 species
AAAGGGCUGCAGUAUUUUGACUGUACAAAGGUAGCAUAAUCAAUAGUCUCUUAAUUGGUGACUUGUAUGAAAGAUUGGAUGAGAUAUAUACUGUCUCUUAUUUAUAAUAAAAAUUUAAUUUUUUGAUUAAAAAGUCAAAAUAAUUUUAAAAGACGAGAAGACCCUAUAGAGUUUAAUAAAUAUUUUAAUUAAAGUUAUUUUUUAGAAUAAUAAUUAAAAUUAAGGUAUUUAUUUUAUUGGGGUGAUGAAAAAAUAAAAAUAACUUUUUUUAAUUUAAAAUCAUAAAUAAAUGAAUUAUUGAUCCAAAAAUUUUGAUUAUAAGAAAAAAUUACCUUAGGGAUAACAGCGUAAUUUUUUUUUUUAGUUCAAAUAAAAAAAAGAGUUUGCGACCUCGAUGUUGGAUUAAGAUAAAAUUUAUAUGCAAAAGUAUAAAA